rnacentral:rRNA from 1 species
UGGCGGACGGGUGAGUAAUGUCUGGGAAACUGCCUGAUGGAGGGGGAUAACUACUGGAAACGGUAGCUAAUACCGCAUAACGUCGCAAGACCAAAGAGGGGGACCUUCGGGCCUCUUGCCAUCGGAUGUGCCCAGAUGGGAUUAGCUAGUAGGUGGGGUAACGGCUCACCUAGGCGACGAUCCCUAGCUGGUCUGAGAGGAUGACCAGCCACACUGGAACUGAGCACGGUCCAGACUCCUACGGGAGGCAGCAUG